CCUACGGGGAGCUGCAGUGAGGAAUAUUGGUCAAUGGACGAGAGUCUGAACCAGCCAAGUAGCGUGAAGGAUGACUGCCCUAUGGGUUGUAAACUUCUUUUAUAUGGGAAUAAAACGUUCCACGUGUGGGAUUUUGUAUGUACCAUAUGAAUAAGGAUCGGCUAACUCCGUGCCAGCAGCCGCGGUAAUACGGAGGAUCCGAGCGUUAUCCGGAUUUAUUGGGUUUAAAAGGAGCGUAGGUGGAUUGUUAAGUCAGUUGUGAAAGUUUGCGGCUCAACCGUAAAAUUGCAGUUGAAACUGGCAGUCUUGAGUACAGUAGAGGUGGGCGGAAUUCGUGGUGUAGCGGUGAAAUGCUUAGAUAUCACGAAGAACUCCGAUUGCGAAGGCAGUUCACUGGACUGCAACUGACACUGAGGCUCGAAAGUGUGGGUAUCAAACAGGAUUAGAUACCCUGGUAGUC
rnacentral:rRNA from 1 species